rnacentral:rRNA from 1 species
GACGAACGCUGGCGGCGUGCCUAAUACAUGCAAGUAGAACGCACAGUUUAUACCGUAGCUUGCUACACCAUAGACUGUGAGUUGCGAACGGGUGAGUAACGCGUAGGUAACCUGCCUGGUAGCGGGGGAUAACUAUUGGAAACGAUAGCUAAUACCGCAUAAUAUUAAUUAUUGCAUGAUAAUUAAUUGAAAGGUGCAAUUGCACCACUACCAGAUGGACCUGCGUUGUAUUAGCUAGUAGGUGAGGUAACGGCUCACCUAGGCGACGAUACAUAGCCGACCGGAGAGGGUGAUCGGCCACACUGGGACUGAGACACGGCCCAGACUCCUACGGGAGGCAGCAGUAGGGAAUCUUCGGCAAUGGACGAAAGUCUGACCGAGCAACGCCGCGGGAGUGAAGAAGGUUUUCGGAUCGUAAAGCUCUGUUGUAAGAGAAGAACGGGUGUGAGAGUGGAAAGUUCACACUGUGACGGUAGCUUACCAGAAAGGGACGGCUAACUACGUG